rnacentral:rRNA from 1 species
AAACCAACAGGGAUUGCCUUAGUAGCGGCGAGUGAAGCGGCAAAAGCUCAAAUUUGAAAUCUGGCACCUUCGGUGUCCGAGUUGUAAUUUGAAGAUUGUAACCUUGGGGUUGGCUCUUGUCUAUGUUUCUUGGAACAGGACGUCACAGAGGGUGAGAAUCCCGUGCGAUGAGAUGCCCAAUCCUAUGUAAGGUGCUUUCGAAGAGUCGAGUUGUUUGGGAAUGCAGCUCUAAGUGGGUGGUAAAUUCCAUCUAAAGCUAAAUAUUGGCGAGAGACCGAUAGCGAACAAGUACAGUGAUGGAAAGAUGAAAAGANCUUUGAAAAGAGAGUGAAAAAGUACGUGAAAUUGUUGAAAGGGAAGGGUUUGAGAUCAGACUCGAUAUUUUGUGAGCCUUGCCUUCGUGGCGGGGUGACCCCGCAGCUUAUCGGGCCAGCAUCGGUUUGGGCGGUAGGAUAAUGGCGUAGGAAUGUGACUUUGCUUCGGUGAAGUGUUAUACCCUGCGUUGAUGCUGCCUGCCUAGACCGAGGACUGCGAUUUUAUCAAGGAUGCUGGCAUAAUGAUCCCAAACCGC